GGGGGGGGGGGGGGGGGGGCGGGGGGGGGGGGAGGGGGGGGAGGGAUGGAGACGGGAGCCUUCGGGCGGAGGGCGUCAUUUCGAGUGGCGGACGGGUGAGUAACGCGUGGGUAACCUGCCUCAUACAGGGGGAUAACAGUUAGAAAGGACUGUUAAUACCGCAUAAGACCGCAGGACCGCGUGGUGCGGGGGUAAAAACUCCGGUGGUAUGAGAUGGACCCGCGUUCGAUUAGCCAGUUGGCGGGGUAACGGCCCACCAAAGCGACGAUCGAUAGCCGAUCUGAGAGGAUGACCGGCCACAUUGGGACUGAGACACGGCCCAAACUCCUACGGGAGGCAGCAGUGGGGAAUAUUGCACAAUGGGGGAAACCCUGAUGCCGCGACGCCGCGUGAGUGAAGAAGUACUUCGGUAUGUAAAGCUCUAUCAGCAGGGAAGAAAAUGACGGUACCUGAGUAAGAAGCCCCGGCUAACUACGUG
rnacentral:rRNA from 1 species